UUUACUUGAUUUAAGAUGAUGAUGUUUAAUGCAAAUCAUUAAGAAAUUAUUUGUUAAUGUUUCUCAUUUUGUUUGUUGUAAAUCAUUUACGUUCAUAUGAAUUUCCAACAGUUCAUCGUGAUGUGAUCAAGCGCCUUGUGAAAGACAAGUCAGAGAAAGUAGCAGCUGGUGUUGAUGAUGAUUUUAUUUCAGAACUCAAGCCUCUAUCAAAAGAAGCUGUUGAAAUACAAAUGAAAGACCUUCAGUUCUUUCAACAAAAUAGUGAGACUUAACAAUGUGGUGAAGCCUAUUGGGAUAAUUGCAACAAAUGAUGGAGUUUUACUAAGAAACCAUAUUCCACGCAUUCUUAAGAACCAUUUCACGGGAAAGCCAUAUUAAGUAGAUCUUCUUGAUUUGUUUAAUGAGGUUGAGUUCCAGACUGCUUCAGGACAGAUGAUAGAUCUAAUUACCACACUGCAAGGAAGAAAAGACCUGUCCAAAUACACAUUAACUCUGUGAGUACGGGAAAACAAGGAGAACAAUUGGAGAGAAAUUAUCAUUGCUUAACCACUUUUUUGACAAACAUGAAAUCAUGUAUCAUAUGUAAAUGUGACUAAAACAACUAUAAGAAAAAAAAGUAUAAAUUCUUCUGCU